rnacentral:rRNA from 1 species
AGUGAACGCUGGCGGCAGGCCUAACACAUGCAAGUCGAACGGCAGCACAGUAAGAGCUUGCUCUUACGGGUGGCGAGUGGCGGACGGGUGAGGAAUACAUCGGAAUCUACUUUUUCGUGGGGGAUAACGUAGGGAAACUUACGCUAAUACCGCAUACGACCUACGGGUGAAAGCAGGGGAUCUUCGGACCUUGCGCGAUUGAAUGAGCCGAUGUCGGAUUCGCUAGUUGGCGGGGUAAAGGCCCACCAAGGCGACGAUCCGUAGCUGGUCUGAGAGGAUGAUUAGACACACUGGAACUGAGACACGGUACAGACUCCUACGGGGGGCAGCAGUGGGGAAUAUUGGACGAUGGGCGCGAGCCUGAUCCAGCCAUACCGCGUGGGUGAAGAAGGCCUUCGGGUUGUAAAGCCCUUUUGUUGGGAAAGAAAAGCAGCAGGUUAAUACCCCGCUGUUCUGACGGUACCCAAAGAAUAAGCACCGGCUAACUUCGUG